UGGAACAUUCCAGAAUUUUUCACUCCUGGAACGUUCCGGAAUUUCCCUCUGGGCGCUGCUCCAGGAAUUCCUCAGGAUUUGGGGAAUUUUCCUCGGGAUUUGGGGAAUUUUCCUCCGGAUUUUCCGGCUUUUCCUCGGGAUCCGCCGAAUUUCUGGGAUUUUCCUCUGGAUUUUCGGGAUUUUCCUUGAGAUUUUGGGGAUUUUCCAUGGGAUUUCCAGGAUCUUCCUCAGGAUUUUGGGGAUUUUUCAUGGGAUUCUCCAGAUUUUCCGUGAGAUUUUUGGGAUUUUCCGUGGGAUUUUCCAGAUUUUUGGGGUUUUCUGUGGGAUUUUCAGGAUGUUCCUCUGGAUUUUCAGGGUUUUCCGGGGCAUUUUCCAAAUUUUGGGGAUUUUCCGUGUUUUCUGUGAGAUUUUCUGGAUUUCCCUCUGGAUUUUGGGGAUUUUCCAGGUUUUCUGUGGGAUUUUCCAGGUUUUCCGUGGGAUUUUCCAGGUUUUCCGUGGGAUUUUCCAGGUUUUCUGUGGGAUUUUCCGUGGGAUUUUCCAGGUUUUCCGUAGGAUUUUCCAGAUUUUCCUCCCCUGCUCCUUCCCCUUCCUCCUGCUCCUCCUUUUCCUCGGGAUCAUCUGUGAAGGGAUUUUCCCCCUGGAAAAGAAGGAAAAAAUUCCCAAAAAUCCAAAAAUUUCCCCAAAAAACCCCAAAAAUAUUCCCCAAAUUCCAAAAUAUUCCCGAAAACCCCCCAAAAAUUCCCCCAAAACCCCCUCAAAANNNNNNNNNNCCCCAAAAAUUCCCAAAAAAAUCCCUCCGAACCCCCCAAAAAUUCCCAAAAAUCUCCCAAAAUCCCCUCCUAACCCUCAAAAAUUCACCCAAAACCUCCUUAAAAAUCCAAAAUAUUCCCCAAAAAUCCCCCCAAAAAUCCCUUCCAAACCCCCAAAAAUUCCCAAAAAAACCCCAAAAAUCCCCCCAAAAACCCCAAAAAUUCCCAAAAAAUCCCCUCCAAACCCCCAAAAAUUCCCAAAUAACCCCAAAAAUCCCCUCCAAACCCUCAAAAAACCCCAAAAAUUCCCAAAAAUCCCCUCCAAGCCCCCAAAAAUUCCCAAAAAACCCCAAAAAUCCCCUCCAAACCCCCCAGAAAUUCCCCUAAAACCCCCUUAAAAAUCCAAAAUAUUCCCCAAAAUCCCCCCUAAAAAAACCUCAAAUAUCCCCUCCAAACCCCCAAAAAUUCCCAAAAAAACCUCAAAAAUCCCCUCCAAACCCACAAAAAUUCCCAAAAAAAUCCCCUCCAAACCCCCCAGAAAUUCCCCUUAAACCCCCUCAAAAAUCCAAAAUAUUCCCCAAAAUCACCCCCCAAAAAACCCCAAAAAUCCCUGGAAAACCCCCAGAAAUUCCCAAAAAAAGCCCAAAAUCCCCCCAAAUCCGCCCCGAUCCCAGGAAAUCCGGGAAUCCGGGAAUGGCGGCGCACCCUGAGGAAGCGCCGCAGUUUGGAGCCGAUGCUUUGGUUGUUGAGGAUGCUCCGGGCCACGGCCAGCGCCGCCCGCUUGGAGCGCUCCAGCGCCGCCUGCGGAGCAACGGCGCCGACGGUCACGGAAUUCCGGGGAACGGUCCGGGAAUUCCGCGGGAACGGUCCGGGAAUUCCGCGGGAACGGUCCGGGAUGGAACGGGAACGGUCACGGGGUGGAACGGGAACGGUCACGGGANNNNNNNNNNGGGCCUGGAGAAUCCCCAAUUCCCCUGCAGGGAAUUCCCUGGGAUCAGCUUCCCA
rnacentral:lncRNA from 1 species